rnacentral:lncRNA from 10 species
CCUUAAUGGUGUCUAUUUUAUUUUAUUGCUGCAUAACACCACAUAUUUAUUUUUUAGUUUCUAAAGAUUAGUAAUCCAGGAGUGGCUUAGCUGGAUAGUUCUGUCUCUGGUUCUCUCAUGAGGUUGGAGUCAAGCCAUCAGCCAAGGCAGAAGUCAUCCAGACUGCACUGGGGCUGAAGACCGUGAUGCCAAGCUCACUCACGUGGCCUUUGGUAAAAGGCCUCAGUCCUGUGCCAUAUGGACCUCUCCAUAGGACCUCAUGACAAGGAAGCUGGCUUUCCUCAGCACAAGUGACCCAAGCAAGAGAGACAGCAGCAAGAUAGAAGCCAGUGUCUUUUAUAAUUAACCUCAGAAGUGACAUAGCAUCAUGUCUAUAAUACCAUAUUGGUCAACUAUUGUACAAUAAGUGACUACUCAAGGGUAUAAAUACUGGAAGGCAGAGAUUAUGGGGACCCAUCUUAAAGGCUGGCUUCCACAAACUUAGGUGUAAAAUUCUUAACACAAUUUUAGCAAAUAGAAUUCAACAAUAUAUUAGAUGGAUAAUAUAACAAAGUGGGGUGUAGCCCAGGAAUGCAUGGUUGGCUUAACAUUUGAAAAUUAAUAAGGAGAAUUCAAUAUAUUAACAGACAAAAAGAC